rnacentral:rRNA from 1 species
GACGAACGCUGGCGGCGUGCCUAAUACAUGCAAGUAGGACGCAGUUGCGAACGGGUGAGUAAAGCGUAGGUAAAUACAUAUUAGAGGGGGAUAACUAUUGGAAACGAUAGCUAAUACCGCAUACUAGUAGAUGGACCUGCGUUGUAUUAGCUGGUCGGUUGGGUAAAGGCCUACCUAGGCAACGAUACAUAGCCGACCUGAGAGGGUGGUCGGCGAAACUGGGACUGGAACACGGGCCAGAAUCCUACGGGAGGCAGCCGGAGGGAAUCUGCGGCAAAUGGGGGAACCCUGACCGGGCAACGCCGCGUGAGUGAAGAAGGUUUUCGGAUCGUAAAGCUCUGUUGUUAAGGAAGCGGUACUUAACCAGAAAGGGACGGCUAACUACGUGCCAGCAGCCGCGGUAAUAC